GCCGUGAUCGUAUAGUGGUUAGUACUCUGCGUUGUGGCCGCAGCACCCCGGUUCGAAUCCGGGUCACAGCA
rnacentral:tRNA from 1 species